CCUGGACGAAGACUGACGCUCAGGUGCGAAAGCGUGGGGAGCAAACAGGAUUAGAUACCCUGGUAGUCCACGCUGUAAACGAUGUCGAUUUGGAGGUUGCGGUCUAGAACUGUGGCUUCCGGAGCUAACGCGUUAAAUCGACCGCCUGGGGAGUACGGCCGCAAGGUUAAAACUCAAAUGAAUUGACGGGGGCCCGCACAAGCGGUGGAGCAUGUGGUUUA
rnacentral:rRNA from 1 species